CCUCCCUCUUCUCAUUUUGGUUAUGAAAGUUUUAAGCUUUUUUGGAGAAGAGGGGGUGGGUGGUUCAAGAUUUGUGAAUGUCACUAUGUCAGAGAAGAACACAAUCAUGAAGAGGCUAGCAGUGCUACUUUUGCUGUUGGUGUUCAGUCACUGUAUAGUACAGAGUGAAGCUGAAUUUGAAGGAGAAUGCAAGUUCAAUAAGCAUUUGAAACCUAGACCUCACAGUGUGUCAGUAUUGGACUUUGGGGCUGUGGGUGAUGGAAAAACUAUUAAUACUGUCGCGUUUCAGAAUGCUAUUUUUUAUCUCAAGUCCUUUGCUGACAAGGGUGGAGCGCAGCUCUAUGUUCCUGCUGGAAAGUGGCUGACUAGAAGCAUCAAUCUUACUAGCCACCUUACACUGUUCCUGGAAAAAGAUGCUGUUAUUCUAGCAUCCGAGGAUUUCGAUCAUUGGGAUGUAGUUGAAGCUUUACCAUCUUAUGGCCGAUCUAUUGAAGCACAGUAUGGAAGAUACCGCAGCUUGAUCUCUGGAAAUAAUUUAACUGAUGUUGUAAUAACAGGUAACAAUGGUACUAUCGAUGGCCAGGGCUCUAUUUGGUGGGAGAAGUUCAAUUCCCAUUCCUUAAAUUAUACUCGACCUCACCUAGUAGAGUUUGUUAGCUCCAGCAAUGUUGUUAUUUCAAACUUGACCUUAUUAAAUGCUCCUGGUUGGAACAUCCGUCCAGCAUAUUGCAGUAAUGUGGUCAUUCAGAACUUAACGGUUUAUACUCCACAAGACUCCCCAUUCACCAAUGGGAUUGUCCCAGAUUCUUCUGAGCAUGUCUGCAUUGAAAACAGCAACAUUAGCAUGGGUUACGAUGCUAUCGUUCUUAAAAGUGGUUGGGAUGAGUAUGGGAUUUCCUACGGGAAACCUACCUCAAAUGUCCACAUUAGACGAGUGAGGUCACAGUCCGCUGCAGGUGCUGGUGUGGCUUUUGGUAGCGAGAUGUCUGGUGGUAUCUCCGAUGUGCUAGUAGAGCUUAGUUCGCUGCAUGACUCCCUUUACGGGAUUGAGCUGAAGACAGCAAGAGGAAGAGGCGGUUACAUCAAAGAUAUUCUCAUUUCAAAUGUUGUUAUGGAUAACUUGCAAGUUGGAAUCAAGGCCACUGGUUACUCUGAUACGCAUCCAGAUGAGAAAUAUGAUCCUUCUUUGUUACCUACAGUUAGUGGAAUCACCUUUAAGGACAUUGUUGGCACAAAUAUCUCUAUAGCAGGGAAUUUCACCGGGCUAUCUGAAUCUCCCUUCACUUCUAUAUGUCUAUCAAAUAUCUCUAUCUCCAUUUCAUCCGACCCUUCUACACCAUGGCUAUGUUCUAAUAUAUCAGGCUCUUCUAAAAAUGUGUCUCCUGAACCAUGUCCCGAGCUUCAAGGAUCAUUUUCCAGUUGCUUUGCUCUUCCAAACCCAUACACUGAAGUUGCAGUUUUAUAAUCCUACCCCGAUUGGUACUACUAUUCAUUCAUUGAACCUGAACAACGAGGCACAUAUCUUGUUCUGGUUCUGGUGUACAAUCCUCCAAUAAGAUGCAAGUCAGAAUAUUCAGUCUCAUGGUUUACCAAGUCACCGUCAAAAAACUCUGGUGAGCAUUCUCUUCAACGCAGCAGCAGAUCGUUCCUGUGUACAGCAUCAGUUUCUUUUAUUCAUGUGUAAGAAAAGUUUUGG
rnacentral:misc_RNA from 1 species